rnacentral:lncRNA from 1 species
AAUCUUAAUUAGAAAAAGCUGAAAUAUUCUGCAACUUUCACUGCAUUCUUUGACAACGACAACUUUUCACGGACGAAAGGUCAGUACGAUGAACAAAAUGUAAAUCACUCGAGAAAUAUCACAAUCCAGCUCGAGGCAAGCUUUAAAACAAGGAUAAUAAUUUUUUUCCUGUUCAUUGAAUUCAUGCAGGAUGGCUGCAGUUAUUUCCCUAGACACUGUCGUUGGACUGUGGACAUGCUGGAGCACCACUGUUAUAAUGACUGAGAAGAACAGAGAACAUAAUUUUAAUGUAAGGAUACAUAGAAGGAGGUGCUGGAAAGUUCCUGGCUUUUUU